UGAGCCAUCCAGUCCCCAUUCAGUCUCCAGCUCCAUUCACAAAUCUGCCCCGGCUUGUCUCCUGCAGUCCUGUCUUGUUCAGCCCCUCCAGAAGCUGUAAGUGGUGCAGAGCACAUUCUGAGCGUUGGGAACACUCUCUGGCUUCCAUGGAGCUGAGCCACAUCUCCUGGACAUCACAUGUGGAAGGCAGCCCACAGAUCCUAGAUCUGGAAAGAACAACUCCUGGAGAGGAAAAAGAGGAAGCAAGGCACAAUAACCAUGGUUUCUGAGGAACUUUGAAAGGAAAUGAAACAAUAACAGUUUAGAAGACGAACAAUUGCAGGUGAAUGCAGUGGUUAAUUCAUCACCUUCCACAGAGCUGGUACAGCAUGGCAACUUCAAUGCAAGCUUUCACAUGCUGUCCUUCGGUAUGAUUCAAUAUUCCUGGAAUAACUUCCACUAAUCUGAGGAGAUAAUGUAGUAUCAUGCCUAGCACAGUGGGCAUCCGUGCAAAUAUUAAACAUUAACAAUGCCCAUUGAAGUGCAUGGACACUCUGUUGUGGUUGCAAUAUUAUUGCCAAUGUGGUGGGCAUCAUUCAGUAGGAUCUUGACUGAGAAGAUCACUUCUUUUCAUGUGGGCCAUUAGAUAUUAAUGACUUUAAAUCAUUGUGAUCCCGGAGAGGAUUUCAAUUGGUGAGCGAGAUGUGACAGACUUGGCAUCUGUUCAACAAACUUCUGAGGCAUCCAGUUCCCCGAUUUACAGUUUUUCCUGCACUAUCUGAUACUUAUCCACAGCUCAUAGCAGGAAGUGUCAUUUUUCAAAUCACUUUUGCUCUCAGUUAAACCAAUGCAAUCCCAUCAACUUCAGAGAGCAGAAUUUGACCAAAAAAUGCUUAUUCGUUAGGUGAAAUAUUACCAUCAAGUAGAGUGUCUUACACAGGUUCCACCUUGAUUCUGUAGUCCUUUCACAGGCAAAAUAAUAAUAAA